rnacentral:piRNA from 1 species
CAAAAAGGGGGAAUAGGCCAUGGUAGAA